rnacentral:rRNA from 1 species
AUGGCGUCGAGCGGUGACGCAGCCGGAGUUGUCGUGCCGAGGAACUUUAGACUGCUGGAAGAGCUUGAGAGAGGAGAGAAGGGCAUUGGGGAUGGAACAGUUAGCUAUGGAAUGGAUGACGCAGAUGAUAUCUACAUGCGCUCCUGGACAGGAACAAUAAUUGGUCCCCACAACACUGUCCAUGAGGGCCGGAUUUAUCAGCUGAAGCUUUUCUGUGACAAGGACUAUCCCGACAGGCCACCGACUGUUAGGUUUCACUCAAGAAUCAACAUGACCUGUGUAAAUGCCGAGACUGGAUUGGUGGACCAAAGGAAGUUUAGCCUGCUGUCCAACUGGCGCCGUGAGUACACAAUGGAGAACAUCUUGAUACAGCUUAAGAAAGAGAUGGCGACAUCACACAACCGGAAACUAGUGCAGCCUCCGGAGGGGACGGUCUACUGA